CCGGUCCGCCUCGUGGACGCCCCGAACGCGCAGCGGCCCACCCGGUUACUCUGGCCAGGUGCGCCCACCGCGGAGAGUUCCACGGAACGCGCAAAGCCGACAGCCGUCGCACCAUAAGGGAGCCCCUUUCAUG
rnacentral:sRNA from 1 species